UCUCCGUUGGUGAACCAGCGGAGGGAUCAUUACUGAGUUUACAACUCCCAAACCCUUUGUGAACAUACCUUUUUGUUGCUUCGGCGGGAUCGCCCCGGCUCUGCCCGGAACCAGGCGCCCGCCGGAGGUACGCAAACUCUUGUCUUCAGUAUAUUCUUCUGAGUGGCAAACGCAAAAUAAAUCAAAACUUUCAACAACGGAUCUCUUGGCUCUGGCAUCGAUGAAGAACGCAGC
rnacentral:misc_RNA from 1 species